rnacentral:lncRNA from 1 species
UUUUUUUCCUCAAAUCAGUGACAAAAUUAAAAUUAAAGGGUACUAAAGUAAAUAUUCGGUAAAUCUAGAUGGAUAUCUGAUAUUUUUUUGCAUAUAAUUUAACGAAAUAUUAAGUAAAAAGCUAUAGAAAAAAUAAAAACAAAACCACAGGGGGCAAAUUGAUACACUUUAAACCACAGGGUACUAAAGUGAGAAAGUUGGAAACCACAGGGGGGAUUUUUGAAGUUUUCCCAUAUAUAUAUAUAUAUAUAUAGAGGAAAGUAGAGAUGGGUAAAAUUGUAGAUAAAUACCUUCAAUUAUUACCCACUUGGAAAUUGCCCCUCAACGUUAUUUAUUAUUUUAGGUGGUGUUUGAUUCGAGUGUAAAUAAGAACUAUUUAUUUUAGGUAUAGAUAUAACUUUAGGUAUAAAAAAAAAAGUCGAGUAAAUUUUUGUUUGGGCAAAAAUUAGAUUAUUUCUGAAAAUAAGAUAAAUAGUACUUGAAUUGUUAGAUUAGAAUAGCAAGUAUAAAGCUAAUUAUAAAUUUAAAUUAAUAAUAUUUUAUCUAAUUAAUUAAUAUCAAAAUAUUAAUUAAAAUCUAAAAUAAUGCCAAAAUUCUUAAUUUGUGCACA